rnacentral:rRNA from 1 species
UACAUGGGGUGCAAACGUUGCUCGGAAUCAUUGGGCGUAAAGCGCGCGUAGGCGGUUACUUAAGUUGGAUGUGAAAGCCCUCGGCUUAACUGAGGAAGUGCAUCCAAAACUGAGUAGCUAGAGUACGAAAGAGGGUCGCGGAAUUCCCGGUGUAGAGGUGAAAUUCGUAGAUAUCGAGAAGAACACCGGUGGCGAAGGCGGCCAUCUGGACGGUGACUGACGCUGAGACGCGAAAGCGUGGGGAGCAAACAGG